CCCUCAAUGAUGAUGAAGUAGGCCUUCUGUCACUUUUCUUUCACAUCACAAUGACAGCAAAGGAAAGACUGACUACCCAUUUCUCCUGUGCCAUCCUCUCACUUUAAAUUGAUCCUGAUACUGCCAGAGAGGGAAUUAAAAAAAUAGAAGAAGCACAUUAUGAAACACAUCCCUCCCCUGCUGUGACGGGGGUGGGCAACGUGUAAAGAGGGAGAAUAGCAUUCAAACGUCUGUUUUUCAAUACGUGGUUUGGCAUUCAGAGGGAUCUGGAAAUAACUGACUUGGGACACUAAGGAAGGAAGCAUGUAAAAUGUUGUGAAAGUGGCCAGAGGCAUUCUAUGGAACCAUCAUUUCUAAUCAUAUAUAGGGACUGAUACUCAGCAGUGAGUGAACCCAGCACAGAAAGCUAUGAAGACAGUCCUACACCGGUACUGAUGAUUCCCCUUGCCUGUUUGUUUGUUGCAUUUAUAUGCUGUCUUUCUCCCAGAGUUGGACCCAAGGCACCUUCCAAAACAAUUCACAAUUUACAAGGAAGUUCUAAAAAUAAUUAAAGUAAAAGAAUAAAAUAACCCUAUAAAAAAGCUCUUUUGUCCACAGAUUAAAACCCUGCCUAAAUAGGAUAGUCUUUGCCUUCUGUUUGUUUGUUUUUUGUGUGUGUUAGGGGUGACUUGAGAAACUGCAAGUCACUUCUGGUGUGACAGAAUUGGCCUUCUGCAAGGACAUUGCCCAGAGCACACCUGAAUGUUUAAUGUUUUACCAUCCUUGUGGGAGGCUUCUCUCAUGUCCCUACAUGGGGAGCUGGAGCUUACAGAGGAAGCUCAUCUGUGCUCUCCCUGGAUUCGAACCACCGACCUGUUGGUCAGCAGUCCUGCCAGCACAUGGAUUUAACCCAUUAAGCUAUUGGGAGCUCCUUUUUGCCUUUGGGGGAAACGAAAGCAGAAAAGAGUCAUCUUAGCCACCAACAGAAGAGAUUUACAAAUAAUUCAUAUUCAGCUUCCCUACAAAAAAAGUAAUAUGAAUACUUCAGAUUCAUACUUACACAUGAGGACAUGGAUUCCAUCAUCCUCUGUCUACCUUGCCUACCCUGUGCCUUCUAACUCUUUCUCUGCUUUUCCAUGUUGCUUUUUACAAAGCACGACUCAUAAAAUGCUUUAUUUACUGGACAACACACAUGUUAAAAUCACUCAAAAGCAGGCUUGAAAUAUUGUUGUUGUUGUUAUUAUUAUAAUUAUAUGUAUUUAUACCGUGCUUUAUCUCUCCUGAAGGACACUCAAAGUGGCUUAACAUAAAAGUAUUAUCUUACAAUUUAAAAUAUAUACAAACAUGCAAAGAUUAAACCAGAAUUAAACAUAAAUAGUAUUAAAAAUUCAAAACCAUUAAAACAUAUUGAAAGUCAAAAACCACAGUACCCCUGAACUGAUCUUUAAAAUUUUAUACUUUAAAUACCUGUAUGAAUAAAAAAGGUUUUGGUCUGGUUUUAAAGGUUAUUCCUUUUUAACAAAUCCAAGGUUGGACCCAUUCAUUUUUCAACUCUUCUGGAUUUUUUAAUGUUAAAGGUGAGAAGAAAAAAAACGUGGGAGUUGUGGCUCUACUGAGAUGUUCCACAUAAUGCACACAAAUGCAAAUUCGGGAAGAAAAGUGAGACAUUGAUACAAUCUCAGAUGAUAUGAUGACCAUCUGAAGGUUGUUUUUAGAAGAGGGAGCAAACUUGUUUUCUGAUGCUGCCAUGGCUAGAAAAUGAAUCCAAUCACAAGAAAAGAGAUUCCACCUAAACAUUAGGAAGACCUUUUUAUUAUAAGAGGUGGAAUAGACUGCCUCAGAAAGUGGUGGGCUCUCCAUCUUUGGAAGUCUUUAAACAGAUGUUGAAUGAGGGCAGGGGAUGGUCAUUGUGGUCUCGUCCAGCUCUAAGAUUCAAUGUUUCCCCUUCCUGCCCCCUGCCCCCCAACGUCCCUAUCUCUGCCAGUUCAACAUUUGACCUUCAAAGGCACAACAGGAAACUUUGAAGUGAUAUGUUUAGCAUGCCCGUCUGAAUACAAUGAGAAACCCAGAUAAAGCUGCAUUCCUGACACAGGGCCACUCUAAACAUAUGCUGACAGAUUUUCCGUUAGAUCUUUGUGCUGACUGGUCUAAAUCUUCCUUAAGCCGGCAUAGCAAGACUGGGGUAGAGAUAAGAUUGCAAGUCUAAAAAGAGCAGGAUGUCUCUACUUUUAAGGCUUGUGCAGAAGACGGAAUUUCAGCAAGUAGAGUUUGCAUGACAAGUCUGAAAAUCAGAGGUCUGGCUACUACCGCAAGAGAGGACAAAAUGAGAACACUGUUCCCUUAAUACAAAUUCUGCUUCCUUAAAUCAAUUUUUUUUCAGUCUCCACAUUUCUAUAAUCAAAGAGGGCGAUUUGUUCCUCCCUAUACCCUUGGGGGUCUGCAGCACUGCUGGUUGCCUUAAUGCUAAAAUUUGAUAGUAACUUUCUGCACCUCUCACAAACCCUGAUAUUCUCCAUGUGCUGGUGACGUUGUUUCUAGAAAUGCUAAAAUCUUAUAUUAUUUAAAUUCUAGUGCCACCAAAUGCAUUGGAUGUCUUCUUCUAAUCCAGCCAAUACUGAGCCCUCUCCUUAUUGCACCCACCUUCCUUUCCUAGCACUGAAAAAUCAACCUGCUAAUAAGGUCUCUGUUUCAUCUAAAAUCCUAUGAGACUCUUCCUAAAGCAGUGGUUCUCAACCUGUGGGUCCUCAGGUGUUUUGGCCUACAACUCCCAGAAAUCCCAGCCAGUUUACCAGCUGUUAGGAUUUCUGGGAGUUGAAGGCCAAAAUAUCUGGGGACCCAUAGGUUGAGAACCACUGUGGAACUAAAGACUUCUCUAGAACUAGAGUACGCUUGUUCACCCUCCAACAUCAUAGAGCUAUUGCAGUUGCUACAAAAUUUAGGUAGCAGUGAAAUGGAGUGUGACCUCAGAAGGACUGUGGGAGUCCAAUGCAACCUCCCCAAACUGAAGAAACGACCGUCUCUAAUUUGAAAGCACUUUGUCAUUAAUGGUAGAAAGGUGCUCAUUGGUUGCUUCUUCACCGCAAAGCACUGCUGAAGAGGUGUAACUUCAGAGAUGUUGUCUUCUUUGAGUGUCUUACUUCAGAGAAUUCAAUUUACAACAUAGUGAUCUAUGAGAAGUAAUAGUAAGUAAAUUCUGCAAGCACUCAGGCAUCCCAAUUGCAGCCUAGAGAUACUUCGGUUGCGCUGCUGUAACCUCCAAUCCAAGUCAUGCAUGAAAUUAGCUGCUGUCAUUCUAAAACCAGAACCUGAGAGAGCUCUACUUGAGACUUUAACAAUAUAGAUGGACUGACAAAGCUCUGUGAAAUACUGAUACAUCUUGACUGCAAACUGCAGGU